GACGAACGCUGGCGGCGUGCUUAACACAUGCAAGUCGAACGGAAAAGCCCUGCUUUUGUGGGGUGCUCGAGUGGCGAACGGGUGAGUAACACGUGAGUAACCUGCCCUUGACUUUGGGGUAACUUCAGGAAACUGGGGCUAAUACCGGAUAGGAGCUCCUGCUGCAUGGUGGGGGUUGGAAAGUUUCGGCGGUUGGGGAUGGACUCGCGGCUUAUCAGCUUGUUGGUGGGGUAGUGGCUUACCAAGGCUUUGACGGGUAGCCGGCCUGAGAGGGUGACCGGCCACAUUGGGACUGAGAUACGGAGCAGACUCCUACGGGAGGCAGCAGUGGGGAAUAUUGCACAAUGGGCGGAAGCCUGAUGCAGCAACGCCGCGUGCGGGAUGACGGCCUUCGGGUUGUAAACCGCUUUCGCCUGUGACGAAGCGUGAGUGACGGUAAUGGGUAAAGAAGCACCGGCUAACUACGUG
rnacentral:rRNA from 1 species